GGCCGCCUGGCGAAAUGGCAUCGCGUCUGACUACGACCCUGUUGUGAUCAGGAGAUUGCAGGUUCGACCCCUGCGGUGGUCA